GCGGUGGAUGAUGUGUUUAAUUCGAUGCAACGACGAAAACCUUACCCACCUUUGACAUGGCAGGAAUCCUGAAGAGAUUUGGGAGUGCUCGAAAGGGAACCUGCACACAGGUGCUGCAUGGCUGUCGUCAGCUCGUGUCGUGAGAUGUUGGGUUAAGUCCCGCAACGAGCGCAACCCUUGCCAUUAGUUGCUACGAAAGGGCACUCUAAUGGGACUGCCGGUGACAAACCGGAGGAAGGUGGGAAUGACGUCAAGUCCUCAUGGCCCUUAUAGGUGGGGCUACACACGUCAUACAAUGGCCGGUACAGAGGGUAGCCAACCCGCGAGGGGGAGCCAAUCCCACAAAGCCGGUCGUAGUCCGGAUCGCAGUCUGCAACUCGACUGCGUGAAGUCGGAAUCGCUAGUAAUCGCGGAUCAGCAUGUCGCGGUGAAUACGUUCCCGGGUCUU
rnacentral:rRNA from 1 species